rnacentral:rRNA from 1 species
UACGAAGGGGGCUAGCGUUGCUCGGAAUCACUGGGCGUAAAGCGCACGUAGGCGGAUUCUUAAGUCAGGGGUGAAAUCCUGGAGCUCAACUCCAGAACUGCCUUUGAUACUGAGGGUCUUGAGUUCGGGAGAGGUGAGUGGAACUGCGAGUGUAGAGGUGAAAUUCGUAGAUAUUCGCAAGAACACCAGUGGCGAAGGCGGCUCACUGGCCCGAUACUGACGCUGAGGUGCGAAAGCGUGGGGAGCGAACAGG